rnacentral:rRNA from 1 species
GCAAGUCGAGCGGAAACGAGAAGUAGCUUGCUACUUCGGCGUCGAGCGGCGGACGGGUGAGUAAUGCCUAGGAAGUUGCCCAGUAGAGGGGGAUAACCAUUGGAAACGAUGGCUAAUACCGCAUAUUCUCUUUGGAGCAAAGCAGGGGACCUUCGGGCCUUGCGCUAUUGGAUACGCCUAGGUGGGAUUAGCUAGUUGGUGAGGUAAUGGCUCACCAAGGCAACGAUCCCUAGCUGGUCUGAGAGGAUGAUCAGCCACACUGGAACUGAGACACGGUCCAGACUCCUACGGGAGGCAGCAGUGGGGAAUAUUGCACAAUGGGCGAAAGCCUGAUGCAGCCAUGCCGCGUGUAUGAAGAAGGCCUUCGGGUUGUAAAGUACUUUCAGUCGUGAGGAAGGGGGUAAGCUUAAUACGCUUAUCUCUUGACGUUAGCGACAGAAGAAGCACCGGCUAACUCCGUGCCAGCAGCCGCGGUAAUACGGAGGGUGCGAGCGUUAAUCGGAAUUACUGGGCGUAAAGCGCAUGCAGGUGGUUCAAUAAGUCAGAUG